AGUGAACGCUGGCGGUAGGCCUAACACAUGCAAGUCGAACGGCAGCACAGUAAGAGCUUGCUCUUACGGGUGGCGAGUGGCGGACGGGUGAGGAAUACAUCGGAAUCUACUUUUUCGUGGGGGAUAACGUAGGGAAACUUACGCUAAUACCGCAUACGACCUACGGGUGAAAGCAGGGGAUCUUCGGACCUUGCGCGAUUGAAUGAGCCGAUGUCGGAUUAGCUAGUUGGCGGGGUAAAGGCCCACCAAGGCGACGAUCCGUAGCUGGUCUGAGAGGAUGACCAGCCACACGGGAACUGAGACACGGUCCAGACUCCUACGGGAGGCAGCAGUGGGGAAUAUUGGACAAUGGGCGCAAGCCUGAUCCAGCCAUACCGCGUGGGUGAAGAAGGCCUUCGGGUUGUAAAGCCCUUUUGUUGGGAAGGAAAAGCGGAAGGUUAAUACCCCGCUGUUCUGACGGUACCCAAAGAAUAAGCACCGGCUAACUUCGUG
rnacentral:rRNA from 1 species